rnacentral:rRNA from 1 species
AAUGGYUUWGRUUAGUACCAAUUUAAAAAAGUCUMACCURGACCGAUCGAGAUCGGGCACGUACGGCGCAUUUUUCGUAAUUGCGAACACCGCGAUCGGUUUACUUCGCUCGUUAACGAACGCGGACGAAUUGAGGGCGCUGUCCGCGAGGACACGCGUAACCGAUCGUCCCGAUUAACGACGAGACGAAUAGACUGUAUAAUAUAUCUGAUACGGACGUCGGUCGUAAAGCUCGUUCCGAUAAUAGAGAWUCGGUCGUAGGCGAGUCGCUCUGCUCGCAGAUCUCGCGCCUACCCAGGCYGWUUGCUUCUAUCUUCGGACGACGUUUCGACGUUUCCGGAUUCAGCGGUGCUUUUAUUAAGUCGGUCGCUCGUCCGACCCGUCUUGAAACACGGACCAAGGAGUCUAACAUAUGCGCGAGUCAAUGAGUAUUUUAAUACUCUAAUAGACGUAAUAAAAGUAAAAUUCGAUAUUAAAAUCGAACGAGGUAGGAUUUCGGAAUUAAGUUAAUAGCUAUUCCGAACGCACUACCGUCCCGUCCAUCGUCGCUUCGUCGGCGGGGCGGAGACUGAGCGUAU